rnacentral:rRNA from 1 species
GACAGAGGGUGCGAACGUUGUUCGGAAUUACUGGGCGUAAAGCGCAUGUAGGCGGCAGCGCAAGUCGGGCGUGAAAUCCCACGGCUCAACCGUGGAAGUGCACUCGAAACUGCGCAGCUAGAGUCCUGGAGAGGAAGGUGGAAUGCUUGGUGUAGAGGUGAAAUUCGUAGAUAUCGAGAGGAACACCGGUGGCGAAGGCGGCCUUCUGGACAGUGACUGACGCUGAGACGCGAAAGCGUGGGGAGCAAACAGG